rnacentral:lncRNA from 1 species
GGCUCCUUUCAGCCUCUUUCUGCCCGCCGGUGGCGGCGUGUGGGGGCGGCGAGGAGACCCCCUGCGGGCAGCGCCGCAGCAGAACCACCCUCCCCCGCCCCGCCGCCCUCCCUCCCCUUCCCUCAUCGCGGCCGCGGCGAGGGGCGGGCCCGGGGAGCGCGGAGCGCAUCGAUCGCCGCCCUCCCUCCCUGCCUCCAUCCGGCCGCCCGCCCGCUCGGCGCUCGGCUCCCUCAGCAGCCCCGGCCCUCCCCGUCCCCCGCCAUUUCGCACCGGGACGGGCAGCGAGGCGCAGCGCCCGCCGCGCCGGGGCGGCCUCCGAGGCAGGCAGGCAGGCACGAAGACAGGCACGGAGACGCCGGCGUCGCCCCGCGGCUCGGCUCGGCGCAGCGCAGCGCCACGCAGGUAGCCGCCCUCCUCCCGCACCCCUCGCUCGCUCUCCCUCCCUCCCUCCCUCGUCCCCUCCGAAGGGGAAGCGGCUGCCUGCAGCCGGGCGCCCCUCGCCUCGCCUCGCCUCGCCUCGCCUCGCCGCCCCGUACCGGGGGCAGCGGCCGCGCUGCUGGCUGCCCUCAGCCGGAGCCGUCGCCGGCGGCAGGGGGCGGCGGGACAGGUGGCCAACGCCCUCCGGGAGCCCGGCGCCCUUGUGCUGAGUCAACCCUUCCCUCCCUCGCCCCCCUUCUCCCCUUCUUUCUAUUCAAUGUAAAGCCCGGCCGCCGGCCGGCACGGAAAGUUUGGCCGGGGCGGCCGCGGCCCCGGCCGGGCGCUGAGGGGAGCCGGGGCGGGGCGGGCGCGGGGCCGGGCCCCGGGAGGUGCGGGGCCGGGGCCGGGGCCAGGAGGGGCCGGGGAAGGGUCGCGACCCUGGGGCUCUUCCUCGGCUCGGGGGGGCAGUCCCGGCCCCGGGGAAAGCCGGGCGGCCUCCCGGGAACUUGGGGAGCAGGCAGUGGGGAGGGUCUGCCCUGCUCUGUCCUGUUCGCGGGGUGCUGCCUGCAUUGGUGCGUUCCGGCCCCUUGA